rnacentral:rRNA from 1 species
UACGGGGGGAGCAAGCGUUGUUCGGAAUUACUGGGCGUAAAGGGCGCGUAGGCGGCCAUCUAAGUCGAACGUGAAAUCCCCGGGCUCAACCCGGGAACUGCGUCCGAUACUGGUUGGCUUGAAUCCGGGAGAGGGAUGCGGAAUUCCAGGUGUAGCGGUGAAAUGCGUAGAUAUCUGGAGGAACACCGGUGGCGAAGGCGGCAUCCUGGACCGGCAUUGACGCUGAGGCGCGAAAGCCAGGGGAGCAAACGGG